rnacentral:lncRNA from 7 species
GAGACUGGUGUAAAUGGCAGAUAGCCAGCAGCAAGGAGACAUCUGGGAUAAGACAAGGCGCUAAGGUUCUGUUGAGUGAAUGAGUGACUGGGUAGGAACUUGGCUGGUAACCAAGGCAAAUCCACCAUAAGCCACUAUCUGCAUAGCCCACUGUCAAAACUCAGGGCUGCUUGUGAGAUUCUUUCAUAUGCUCUGCAACCAUGCCACUGGCUAUUUGAAUCUGUGGACAACUGUGAUAGCCCCCUCAGAAAAGAAAACUAAAAUAGACCUCUGCUCCUUGGGGAGCUGAUAGCCAGUACCUGCUCAACUGGAAAGAAAACAAUUUUCGAAAAGCAGUCUUGUGUGGAACAGCAAGAUGGGAGAAACCAAACAAGUAGAUUGAUUAUGAUUAUGAUUAUGAUUAACUGAGCUCUAAAAUAUUUGAGUGAAGAAGUAAGAGGUAGAAAUGCUACAAGGAGUACAUUUUUCAGAACAUUCUAUGGCUGGACUGUCUUUUGAAAACCCUCACUGAAGUCAAUAGGAACUGAACGCACAUAUCAGAAGUCAAACUUCGUGUCUUUAUGAUUUUUAGAGCAUUUAAAAAAGCCUCUGGAGGAACACUCUUAUGAAAUAAAUUCUGAGGAUGCAAUUCUAAUCUUUCUGGAUUUGGGGACUGAUGCUGAAGAACUAAUAAUUACAAUUGGUGAAGGAAAAGCUCAUUUUCUCUGCAAGAGACCACAGGAAACUUUAGACACUACCAGAUAGUGCGAAGUGCAAACUUACUACACAGAAUAAGACUUGAACAUUUCUUAAAACACAUUGAUGAAAAGUCUAAAUUUACUAUGCCCCAAUAUUGGCAUAGGUCUCCCUUCCCAUGAGAGGAAACUCUAAAAUCUUAAGUGUGUUGCUAUUCAUCUAUUUACCUUACAGCAAAAAGAUGACACUGCUAAGAUUUGCGUAUCUUACAUAAUUCCUGGAAUUUCUUGUUGGAAUUGAAACUGCAAAGACAAGGAAAAGAAUCUGGUUAAUAUUUAUUUUCUACAACUUGACAAAAGCAUGGGCAGGAACAGAAGAAUAAUAAAUGUCUAUAGAAAACAGUGCAGCUUGGUGCAGAGAACCUGGAAACAUAUGUACCCAGUUAGAUGAAUUUGCUUUGUGCUGCACCUGAGCUAAUGACCCCUACUGAGAGGUUCAUAGUAUAGAUUAAGUGUUGCAACACAAUCAAGGCACUAUAGAUCAAUGUAUAGAUCUAUAGAUCUAUAGUCUACCUUCAGUCCUCAUAAAGAUACUGAAAUACAUCUAUAACAAUCUGUUUGAAAGUGUUUAGGGUAAAAUCUUACCUUCUUUGGCCAGCUAAACAUUAUAAUUACAUUCUGAGUGUGAAACUCCAUGCUGAAGGAUAUUGUAGACAAUCGUUUCAGGAUUUUUAAAGAAAGUAGGCAACAGAAAUGAAUAGAUGGGUCAUUAAAGGCCAUUAAAACACUAGAUUGGGUGCAGGAAGUUUCUGGGUUGAAAAUUGCUCAAUUAUGGGAAAGUGAUCCUAGGGUAGUAUCUGUACUAGCUGGCAUGUUUUAAUGUACAUUCUACUUUAUAAGAAGCAUCGUACAUGGCUAUAUGAAUCUAUUUGUUUGACUAAAAGCAUUUGUGGUGAGACACAGUCAUCUUUUUCCACUAGAAUCAAUGGACAUUGGAAACACUUCCAUGUGAUGUUCUAGAUGCUAUCAUCAGAAAUAUACAUGAAGCUGAUUGAAAUAUUUUAUUUUUUAAGAAUCAAAAGGCUGUAAAGGUAGGCAAUAAGAACGUUCCUGUAUAUAGUGGAUAACAUAACAGAAUAGGAACUCAGUAGAAAGUUCUUCACUAAGUUUGUUUAGGUGCACCUUAGAUGAAUAUCUACAAGGAGUGAUUGCAGUAUGUAGAUGAUUACAUUCCUGCCUUUUUCUACGCAGCUGGAAAAAUUACACUGACGCUGUUAUUGGACAGUGUAUUUUAUAAGCCACUGUUCUGUGUUGUGCUCCAUCAAAUCUGUGCUCAGGAAAUUAUUUUUGACAGUAACAGGACUGUUCAAUCCCAGAGACAUAACUGUGAGAUGUGGGAUGUGCAGUUUUUAUUUAUAUUUAGUAUACCACAUUAAACACAAUGAACAAAAGAUCAUGGAAAACUGUCAAAACAAUAAAUCAUACUUGUUCCUG